CGAAAGUGGUCCAGUUUCGAGCGUGUGCUUGGGUUAGCCCGGCCAAAGUCCGUAGAUCCUAACUUUUGUUUGCCCCAAAAUGCCCUUGCCUUUCUCCUUGUACUCCUCAUGAAUUCUCCGAACUCCCAACCCCUGCGUUCGCUUCAUCUUUCUCAGCUCUUCCUUCUGAGCUGAGAGCCUCUGAGGCUGCAAUCGUUUUAUUCAUCUCUGCUUAUCAGACUCUCCCAGAGAUCGAAGGAUGCUCUUAGGUUUACUUAGAUGGGAUUAAUUUUGAUGGAGAAACUUGGAUGACAGUGCUGUGACAAAGCUGAUGCUCAUUGUGUAUUCCGAGAGUUCUUAAGAGGCAGAGAGAAGCGAUCACAAUAAAAGGUCUGAUGAACGGUACUUCUGCAUCCAGCAGCCUCAAAGCAGCCUUCUCGUAUUGUGUGCAGCAAGUACGGAGUUAUGAUUAUCACCACUACCUUUGUCUCCUCCAUCUCCCACCUGACAUGCGGAGGGCUGCAUUUGCCCUCCGUGCUUUCAAUGUGGAGACAGCUAGAGCCAUGGAUGUUGCUUCUGAUCCCAGAAUUGGCCUUAUGCGUCUCCUCUGGUGGCAGGAGGCCAUAGACAAGAUCUUUGCUCACAAGGUCAUUGAGCACCCAACAGCUCAGGCCCUCUCCCAUAUAAUCUCUGAGCAUAAAAUCAGCAAGGGUUGGCUUAAACGGUCUGUUGAAGCUCGGAUCAAUGAUGCAAGAAGAGAUGAGACUGACAUCCCGGAGACAGUCGGUGAGCUAGAGAAAUAUGCUGAGGAGACAGCAUCCAUUAUGCUUUAUUUGACGCUACAAGCUGGUGGUAUCAGUUCUACUGCAGCAGAUCAUGCCGCCUCACAUAUUGGGAAAGCAAGUGGCCUUCUAUUGCUGCUUAAGUCACUGCCUUAUCAUGCUAGUCGUAACCGCCAUAUUUCCUAUAUACCAGCUGAUGUAGCAUCUAACCACGGGUUAUUAGUUAAGCAUGGAAAUCAAUCAGAAAUUCAGAUGGACAACCGUGAGGGGCUGUCAGAUGCAGUUUUUGAGAUAGCAUCAGUAGCUAAUGUCCAUCUACAGAAAGCUUGUGAAUUGGCUGGGACGGUACCUACCAAGGCUCUUCCAGUGCUUCUGCCAGCUGUGCCUGCACAGGUUCUGUUGGACUCACUACGUCGUGCACACUUUGAUGUGUUUGAUCCAAGGUUAGCUCGAGGAGUUCUUGGGAUCUCUCCAUUGUGGUUCCAAUUGAAGUUGAAGUGGCAUGCAUGGAGAAGGAAGUACUGAAUCUCAUUCCCCCCCCCCCCCCCACCCCCCACCCCGCUGCUUCUCAAGUAUUCAUAAGAUGAGGACUAAAACUGGCUGGAAUAUGGCUAGUCACUGAGGACUCUUCGCACUCCCAAUCAACAGGAACCCUGGACUUUGAUUAUAAUGGAUGCAACUGAUUAAAAUAAAUUUUUAUAACCUAAAAUAAUGAUCUAUCCAUAUUUCUCAUUGAGGUGUUAUCUACUAAUUUGAAGAUUCAGAUGAAUGGUUAUCUUAUUGGCCUAUGGAAAAGAUAUUAGAGAAUAAUUUUUAAAUCUCACAUUGAAGAUCAUCCACAAAUGCUAUGUAUAUCUUUGUAUUCUGGUAUAUUUUCCUUCCUGAACUGAA